AUGGUCAUGGCGGCUGGGCUGGUGGGAGAGAGGAGAGAAGGCGCUUUCCUUUGCAAACCCAUCUGGAGCAGCCAGUUUCAGUGCCACUUGGAAGCUGAAUGGAUUGCAGCAGGAAACCUCGGAGCAGCAUGAUGGAACAGCAGAGGACAAUAGGAAGAUACAGCAGUGAAUGAAACUGCAGCAGCAUUCUGUCACCCUGAAUCACCCAAGAGAUGAGAACAAGGACCUUUUGUGCAAAAUGUGUCAGUACAUAAACAAGUUCAAAAAAGAUACAUCCAGAAAAUGCAAACAUAGGAAGGUGCAUUUUCUCAUGUCCAGCACAAAAAUCUAUAUCCACUAAUAAGCACUAAAGCAGAUGAGAAAACAUGAUCUUGGACUAAGAUGUCCGAUUGUCCCAGAGACUCUCUACUCUUCCCAUGGCCUUCCAAGCUUCAUUUAAACCAUUUAUUUUACUUAUAGCCCUGAGUGCUCAAUGGUCUGGAAAAUUGCACCGUAAAUAAGAUGGCUGCCGCUAUCUACUUGUACAGAAGCACUUCCUGUGAUGGCCACAAAAAUGAAUAAAGCUUUCAUUGGCUACAGUGUUUCUAUUUCCCUAAUGCUGCUUAGGAUUUGUGGAAAGAUCAGUCCUUGGUGAGAUGUAAACUUGGCUAAACAAGUACUUACAGGACCAUUUGGAAAAGCUUUUGUGUAGCUGCAUUUCCUUUGUUUAACCUCAGGAAGAACUGCAAGUCCCAAAUCUGCCAAUACACCUCUAUUAAUAUUUGGAAAAUUAGGGGGUUUUUUAUUAGCAAAGAAGUACAGACAGUCAGAAAGAGAUUUUGUGAGCUCAGAAUAAAAAUAGUAGUGAGCAUUUAUUCAUCUCUAGGUCUAUUUGCUUUGGAUAGUUUUUCAUUGAUUUUACUGGAGCUCUUCCAGUUCUAUCAGCUUAAAAAGUUUUUAACAAAGAAAGGUACUGCUUUGUCAGAUGGGGUGCUUCCAAGGUUUCAAAGCAAGAAGCUCCCUUUAACUUUUGUGUCAAGCCAAUAAAUAAAAGGGAUUAUUAAGGAGGGCAGAAUUCUACCUUUACAGUCUAGAUCUGUAUAAUCACACAUCCCCAGUGUUAAGAAUAAUUUGAAUAUUGUUACCAUAUUACUGUUUGUAAACCUCUUACUUACCUUGUACCCCUGUCCCAGGUUUACUCACCUUGUACCCCUGUCCCAGGUUUACUUACCAUGUACCCCUGUCCCAAAUUGCUGUACCCCGUGUUUCUUAUUCCUUGUUCAGCCAGGCCCUGCCCCCUCUCCCAAGUUACUGUACUGUGUUUCUUGUUCCGUGUUCAGCCAGGCCCUGCCCCCACUGCUCCUAGACUCCCACAUGGCAACACUGUACCCCUGCCCCAAGCUGCUGUACGGUGUUCAGUUGGGCCCUGAGGAGGAGGAUGGCAUAAGGACUUCCAUGUAAAUGAGAGAGACCAGAGACUCAUGGGACGCACCCAGACUGAAAAAACCCCCGAGACAACGAGCCACACAAAAGGAAAGGAAUAAAAACAGUACCAUCAAACAAGGAAGACCCAGAGGAGUCCCCUGACUUCCCUCCAGAGGCCGACAUAACCACGAGGGGACUCGACUGGGAUGACACCCUAGGCUACGAGGCUAAGAGAACGAGUCUUCCCGGGGACUCCCGUGAGGAAGGAAGGCCCAGCUCUGCCCUAGUGACAAAGCUGCAAAGAUCCUCCUCUUCUGCGGUGUCCAAGUGGGAGCAGUGGCGGUGUGCGCGACCCCUCGGGCCCCCACCCCAGAGCUGUAUGGUUUAAUAAAGGCCUUUUUAAAAGGAGCUGGUCUCCUGGCCUGUUCAUCACACCAGGGAGUGUGAUUAUACACAGGCUCCACUUC